ACUUUUCUUUUCGAUGUCAGGCUAUUUUGAUCAUACACGUCCCUUGCCGGUUUAGAAAUUUCUGCAUCAAAGACUCUUCACGCUUUGUAAAGAAAGGUGACAAAGAUGUAGACUUGAUUGCAUCGCUUUGCAAGAUAUAUGACGCCUCAGAGGAUGAGCUGAGGGCAACAAUGGACAAGACCAAUAAUUUGAUAGAAACAAUAUUGAAGAAGAAGCCAUCCGCAUGCCAAACUGACAAGCUAGAUAAUAUUGACACAGAUGGUCUGACAUACUUUGAGGAUUUACUGGACGAGACAUCCAUCUCAACCAGCUUGAUCACACUAGAAAAAGAUUACACUGAUGCAGUCUGUAAUAAAAGCGAACUUGAUGAGAGAGUCUUCAUCAAUGAAGAGGAUAGCUUGCUUGGAUCUGGAAGCUUAUCUGCAGGAGCUGUUAAUAUUACUGGCGUUAAGAGGAAAAUUGAUUCUUUGAGCUCACCUGCGAGGACAUUUAUAAGUCCACUCUCUCCUCAUAAGUCACCUGCCGCUAAGACGAAUAGUAUUGGCAUAAGGUUUAUCCGGUCUUCUUUCUUCGGUUAGUGACUACCUCUGGAACACUCCCUAGACUUGUUCAUCAUACUCUUGCACAAAUUCGAUUCACUAAUAACCCUUACUUUGGAAGUGCAACUGAAAGAAGAUGGAAACGAAACUGAAGAGUCGUAAACGGCGGCUAAAUGGUGACCGGAGUAGUUCCUGAAGGAAAAGGUGGUGGGGAAAGAGCUCGGUUACCCCACAUCUCAUGAAGCAAACUAGCAUAGACCCGUUAUAAAACAAAGUAAAAAUAAUAAUUGUUUAAGUGAGAAACUAAGUAAAAGACCAAAAAACCGAUGGAAAGUUGACAUAUUUACGAGUAUUGCCUGGUUUUACCCAGUUUUAAUCCGAUAUAAAUCAAACCGUUAUCCAAAGUGGACCGGAUAAACACCAACCGUAAAUUAUUAUUAAACCGAAGAAAGAAGACUGGAUAAACCGUAAAACAAUUUCCUUUUCUACUUAACCGUUCCCAUUUCGAAAAACAAACUGUCUAAAUCAAAUUUCCCCUUUCUAUUCCCUUUUGCUCUCCUUAAGAACCCUGGAAACCCAAAUCAAGGAGAUUUGCAAAAUUGAGGAAGAUAGUUGAAACAAGAGAGCUAAGAGAAAAGAAAUUGACGUGAACAUGGAGUAUUCGAUGAAAGAAGUGUAGAAGAACGCGAAGAAGAAAAAGGUGGAGAAGAACGAGACGACAAAGACGACGGAAGAAUCUACGCUGGUAACAGAUGAUGUCAUGCCGAUGAAUUACCUCGUGGAAGCUGCGGUGGCUGUUGGGUCUGAACGGAGUGGUCCGACGUCGGAGGAGGAGAAAGACGGCCGAAGACGAAGACGAAGACGGCGACGAAGAUGGAAAUGAAGAUGCGACGAAUGAUGAAGAGAAAGAAGGGGAAGCGGAAGCGAGUGGUUCUAACGAAAGAGAAAAGGAGAGGACGAAGAGGAUCUGCAUUCAACUGCGGCUGUUUCCGCGGAGGAAGCCUCAGAUGAGGGAAAAGAGAACGAAGUAGAGACUAAUGUCUGUGACGGAAACCGCGAGGAAGAAUCCCUAGAUGACAAAGAAGAUAAAGAGCAGGAAGAGGAGGAGGAGGAAUUUGAGGUUACCGAGGCGGUCAAGCAAAGUAGAAUGUUCUUCUAUGAAUCGGAGUACAAGAAACAGAUAAAGCUAGGGACAAGGUGUAUGAUAGUAGACGUUAUCGACACGUUUUUGUCUCUAGAACCGGCGGCAAGUGAUGCGGAGAGGAGGUGGUUUGAGGAGCAUCCACAAUUCUGUCACUUGUUCCACAAGAAACUGGAUGCAGAUGCACAAGAAAAUUUUAAGAGGAGGAAGAAGACGAACUCAAACCACAAAGUUUAGGGAAUGUGGAUGAUGUUACUGCGUACUGCCGAUGUCGCGAAGAGGAGAGAGGUGUGGUUCAUUGUCAAUGGUUUUCCCAUCCGUUAUGGGUUGAGGGAACACACAUUGAUAUCUGGCCUAAACUGCUGCAAUUAUCCUCUCGGAUACAAGGAGUUUGGUAAGAACAAAUUUGUGAAGCGCCAUUUCAAGAACGGCGAAACAAUAAGGUUGGAGGAUGUGAAAGCGAAGUUGUUGGCAAUGGGAGUCUAUAGAGACAGGUUGAGAAUGAUGGUUCUGUUCUUUUUAGGAAGUGUUAUAUGCGCGCAAACCAAAGUUGGUCCAGGAGCCAAUGAUGUAUUGGAUUUUUUCCAAAGAGCUGUGGAUGAUCUUGGUUACUGCAAGACCUUUCCAUGGGGGAGAUACUCCUUUGAUUAUAUGGUUAAGGAGAUCUCCCACACAAUGGAUCAUUUCGGAGGAUUGGUGAAAGAGAAGACGCUAUGGCCACUUCCAGGGUUCUGUAUUCCUCUAGAGGUAAGUAAUAGAACAUUACAACGCUAUUAAAUUUUAAGUAUUGUUUUGUUAACUUUUAAAAAAUUGUUGGUUUUGUAGCUUCUUGCUUUCAAAGCAAUUACUGAGUUGGGAAAGAGGUUUAGACAACCGGUUGAGGAAGUUGAUCCAGAGUGUUCGAGAAUGUGUCAGUAAACGUUCAAAAAAACAGAAAUGAAAGGGUUUCCUCUUGCAAGUGUUAAUCAAGAACUGGAUAGGAUUAAGCCACAGGAUAUUGACAGCAUCCUACCUACCAGGAAUGAUGAAGAAAAAGCUCUUUUGGCCGUUAUGCAUGAAGAGGACAACGAUGACGAUUGCCCUGAUAUUUCUGUGGAUAGCUGGAAUAAGCGUAUUAAUGAAGGAUAUACCGUCGUUUUUGAAGACAUGUAUCAAAAAGACACUGCAGCUCGACAAGUAAGUGAAGGAUCCGUUAAUGCAGAACAUGCAGUCCUUGAAGGCAUUGCGGCAGGGGAAGAAGUGGCAGAACAGAAGAAGAUGUUGGAAGAUGUGAUGAAGAAAAUGGAAAGUCUUGGGAAUCAGUUUGAGAGAGUGAUGUCGAUAGUGGAAAAAUUGAGGAAAGGUUAGGGUCGCUUGAGUCUUUGUGAAGGAAGCGCAGAAGGGAUCGAAGAAGAAGUAAAGUUGUUGGUGUUCCUUGUCGGAUUAUGUAGUUUUAUGAACCUAUUUUGUUGAAGUUUCAUCCCGGAUAAUGUUUUGUUGGUGAACCAAUUUUUAUGAUACUUUGUUAUGAAAAAGUAGGAGUUAUGGAUAACUGAUUGUAAUACUAGGACAACUCGGUAAAACAAUGAGAAAAUGGUAAAACUAGUAUAACUGAUGCUAACACUAGGACAACUCGGUAAAACAAUGAGAAAAUGGUAAAACUAGUAUAACUGAUUAUAAACUAGUAAAACAACAACAACUCUAAUUCCAUUAAUAACUGAUAGGUUGAACAACAACAACAACUAAAAUUCCAUUAAUAACAACAAACUGAUACCAGACCAUGAAACGGACCCAUGGUUGAACAACAACAACAUAGCUUAAUGAAAGACCAUACCAUGAAAACCAUGGUUGAACAACAACAAACUGAAACCGAAAUGAGACAUGAACAACAAUAUUACUGUAAGGUUCGAACACGCUUCAGCUCAUCCUUGAGCUCAGUGAUCUCUACAGCCAUUUCGUCAACGCGCUUCAGUAAGCCCUUAACCUCAUCCUGGAUCGCGAAGACCCAUGGUUGACGGAAGUGGAGUCCAUCAUCCUGCAAAUAGAACCCAAUUCAUACAUAUGAAACCUAACACAAUCAUCACAUGAUUCAAAUCAAAACCCUAAUAUAUGAAAAGUACCUCAAAGUUGGCGCAUGUGAAGUAUUUCCUUCCCGAAUGAGUAUCAAAGUCGGAGGGAAACUUCUUACUCGGAGAAACCUCGUCGACGAUUCUUCCCCCACAAGGACAUCUAGUAGGGAUCCCGAAAUGAGCAUCGGCAAUGCACCCUAGCAUGUUGUUGUAUUUCUUCAACUCCUUCAUGUCCAUGUACUCCUCGUGUGGGUGGGUCAUGUUGGGAGAUGUUUGUGAGAUAAUUGGAAGAGAGGAGAGAGAGAGAGGGCGAGAGAGAGGGAAAUGGAUAAGUCUGGGAAGAAUCUGGUGUUGAGAUAAGAAGAGAGAGAUUUCGAUGAUUUGAUUGAAAAUAUUUAAUUUUUUAGGCGCCAAACCCAAAAAAAAAUUUCCUCCAAAGAUUUGGUCUUAGUUUUACAUAUUAUACUAGUGUUACGAAAGUUGUUCAUAGUUCUAUUUUUGGUGGUUUCUAACAUAUUUAGUGUUACUAAUCCUUUUGAUUUCGUUUCCCAAUUUUAUUUUUGAUAUUACUACUUUAAAAUGGUAGGCAGCUUGUAAUGUGUAUUAACAUUUCGGUUAUAAUUACAACCGGAAAAUUUAUUUUAUAACAUAUUCUUCGUUAACAAAGUGAGACAUGAAGGUGAAGGUCUUCUAAUGGAUAUGUUUCGAGAUUUUACGAAUUUUCCAAAACUUUUACACCGUUGGGUUUAAUUAUAAGUUACACUCGAGGAAUCAAAUGUAAAACUAAGGGAGACGAAAUUUAAUAUAGAUAACACUAAUGUCAAACAAAAACAUAAUCAAACAAAAACAUAUAGUUUUACCAAGCAGAUAACCAAGUUUUACCAAGCAGAUAACCAAGUUAAAUUCAAGCAGAGGGGCUAGCACCAUUUCCAAACAACAACCAAUUGAAACAAUAUUUUUGCCUUGGCCGCCUCUUGUUAUGUGUCCUUUUCCGUCGUUCUCCACAAGAUGGAUGCCUUUUAACUCUUCUCCUUCCCUUACGGGUAAUGCGGUUCAGAGGUAUGAUUUUCAGCUCUUUUAUGUCAUCUGGUACAUUCCAGGAAGACUUGUCGGGCACAACAUAAAGUGUCCUGGAAUACGCCAAUGCCCACAGUUCCACCCAAUAGUAUUUUGAGCAGAGCUCGUGAUAGUGAAUAUGGACAUCACGCCGCGUGCCAACGCCGUCAUCACCGCGCUUAGUGUAAUAUAUGUACGCAGCCAGACCGUUCAGACACGGUAUCUUUUCAUAAUCUCACACCUUGCAAGUACAAGUUUUCGCAACCAAGUUCGCCAAAAACAUCUUCCCAUCACUGUCGGUGACCUCGUACUCAAGCUCAUAGCUAUUAAGCUCCCGCAUAGGUAGCGUUCUUGCAACAGGCCAUAGAUCGUGCAAGUAGUUCUCAACCAGAGGCACCAGCUUGG